rnacentral:rRNA from 1 species
ACCGGCGCACGGGUGCGUAACGCGUAUGCAACCUACCUCUUACAGUGGGAUAGCCCAGAGAAAUUUGGAUUAAUACCGCAUAGUAUACUAGAUCAGCAUUGGUUUUGUAUUAAACAUUCAUGGGUAAGAGAUGGGCAUGCGUUCUAUUAGCUAGAUGGAGUGGUAACGGCACCCCAUGGCUACGAUAGAUAGGGGCCCUGAGAGGGGGAUCCCCCACACUGGUACUGAGACACGGACCAGACUCCUACGGGAGGCAGCAGUGAGGAAUAUUGGACAAUGGGCGAGAGCCUGAUCCAGCCAUGCCGCGUGCAGGAAGACGGCGCUAUGCGUUGUAAACUGCUUUUCUGGAGGAAGAAACGCCGCGACGUGUCGUGGUUUGACAGUACUUCAGGAAUAAGCAUCGGCUAACUCCGUGCCAGCAGCCGCGGUAAUACGGAGGAUGCAAGCGUUAUCCGGAUUCAUUGGGUUUAAAGGGUGCGUAGGCGGACUUAUAAGUCAGUGGU